AUUGAACGCUGGCGGCAGGCCUAACACAUGCAAGUCGAGCGGAUGAGUGGAGCUUGCUCCAUGAUUCAGCGGCGGACGGGUGAGUAAUGCCUAGGAAUCUGCCUGGUAGUGGGGGACAACGUUUCGAAAGGAACGCUAAUACCGCAUACGUCCUACGGGAGAAAGCGGGGGAUCUUCGGACCUCGCGCCAUUAGAUGAGCCUAGGUCGGAUUAGCUAGUUGGUGAGGUAAUGGCUCACCAAGGCGACGAUCCGUAACUGGUCUGAGAGGAUGAUCAGUCACACUGGAACUGAGACACGGUCCAGACUCCUACGGGAGGCAGCAGUGGGGAAUAUUGGACAAUGGGCGAAAGCCUGAUCCAGCCAUGCCGCGUGUGUGAAGAAGGUCUUCGGAUUGUAAAGCACUUUAAGUUGGGAGGAAGGGUAGUAACCUAAUACGUUGCUACUUUGACGUUACGACAGAAUAAGCACCGGCUAACUUACGUGCCAG
rnacentral:rRNA from 1 species